AAAGGCAGAUCCCACAAGGAUGCCAAAGUCACAUCUCACAAGGAUCCCAAACUCAAAUCCCACAAGGAACAGCCCAAAGUCGAUCCCAAGGGCCUCUCGGCGCCCUAUAACCGCCCCGAUGGACGCGUGUGCGUGUUUGGGGUGUGAACUCGUGUGAGUGCAGAGAGGGAAAUGGGAUAAUUUUAAUUUUUGUCAUAUUUAAUGAUUAUUUGAACCGCGGGGAAAGGCGGGGCUGCUCUUCGUUACCCAGUGCCAAGAUCAGGUCAACUCCUCCUCCGGCUCCGUGCAGGUCCCACAGGGAGGAUCCCAAAGUCACAUCCCACAAGGAGGAGGAUCCCAAAGCGGAUCCUACAGGGAGGACGAUCCCAAAGUCACAUCCCACAAGGAGGAGGAUCCCAAACGCAGAUCCCACAAGGAGGAGGAUCCCAAAGCCAAAUCCCACAGGGAGGAGGAUCCCAGACACAGAUCCCACAAGGAUCCCAAAUGCAAAUCCCACAAGAAGGAGGAUCCCAAAGUCACAUUCCACCAGGAGGAGGAUCCCAAAGGCAGAUCCCACAAGGAUCCCAAAGGCAGAUCCCACAAAGAGGAGGAUCCCAAACUCAAAUCCCACAAGGAGGAUCCCAAACGCAAAUCCCACAAGGAGGAGGAUCCCAAAUGCAAAUACCACAAGGAGAAGGAUCCCAAUCCCAGAUUCAACAAGGAGGAUCCAAAACUCGAAUCCCACAAGGAGGAGGAUCCCAAACUCAGAUCCCUCAGGGAGGAUCCAAACCCAGAACCCACAACAAGGAUCCCAAAUGCAAAUCCCACAAGAAGGAGGAUCCCAAAGGCAGAUCCCACAGGGAGGAUCCCAAAGGCAGAUCCUACAAGGAGGAGGAGGAGAAUUCCAAAGGCAGAUCCCUCAAGGAGGAUCCCAAAUGCGGAUUCUACAGGGACGAUCCCAAAAGCAGAUCCCACAAGGAUCCCAAACUCAAAUCCCACAGGGAUCCCAAACUCAGAUCCCUCAAGGAGAAUCCCAAACGCAGAUCCCACAAGGAGGAGGAUCCCAAACCCAGAUCCCACAAAGAU